rnacentral:hammerhead_ribozyme from 1 species
AUCUAGCCGACGAGUCCCAAACAGGACGAAACGCGCGUCCUGGAU